rnacentral:rRNA from 1 species
CCUGGUAGUCCCGCCNUAACGAUGUAACUGGUUGUUGGUCUUACUGACUCAGAACGAAGNUAACGGUAAGUUGCCGNCUGGGAGUCGGCCGCAAGUUGAAACUCAAAGGAAUUACGGGGACCCGCACAAGCGGUGGAUGAUGUGGUUUAAUUCGAUGCAACGCGAAAAACCUUACCCACCUUUGACAUGUACGGAAUCCUUUAGAGAUAGAGGAGUGCUCGAAAGAGAGCCGUAACACAGGUGCUGCAUGGCUGUCGUCAGCUCGUGUCGUAGAUGUUGGGUUAAGUCCCGCAACGAGCGCAACCCUUGCCAUUAGUUGCUACGAAAGGCACUCUAAUGGGACUGCCGGUGACAAACCGGAGGAAGGUGGGGAUGACGUCAAGUCCUCAUGCCCUUAUAGGUGGGGCUACACACGUCAUACAAUGGCUGGUACAAAGGGUUGCCAACCCGCGAGGGGGAGCUAAUCCCAUAAAGCCAGUCGUAGUCCGGAUCGCAGUCUGCAACUCGACUGCGUGAAGUCGGAAUCGCUAGUAAUCGUGGAUCAGAAUGUCACNNCCCNUACGUUCCCGGGUCUUGUACACACCGCCCGUCACANCAUGGGAGCGGGUCUCGCCAGAAGUAGGUAGCCUACCGCAAGGAGGGCGCU